GUCACUGAUGUGACCGUAGUAGCAUUGGAAGACUCUGUGGUCGAUGCAUCGGCACUUGCUGUGGAGGUCACUGAUGUGACCGUCGUAGCGUUGGAAGAUUCAGUAGUGGACGCCUCUGCACUUGUCGUGGACGUCUCCGACGAGACCGUUGUAGCGUUGGAAGACUCUGUGAUUCAGUAGUGGACGCCUCUGCACUUGUCGUGGACGUCUCCGACGAGACCGUUGUAGCGUUGGAAGACUCUGUGGUCAAUGCUUCGGCACUCGCUGUGGAGGUCUCUG